rnacentral:lncRNA from 1 species
AGCAAAGAUGUCUUAUUCUUAACACAAAAUGAAUGCAGAUAAAUGAAAAUAACUAGGUUCCAACAGUUCUAUAUUUUAACAUUAUAUUAAUAGUGCAGAUGUUUUCUUCUGGUGACAUGACUGUUUGAUUUUAAGGAGCAUUAAUUUGAUGAUUACAUGCAUUUUGGACAAUAUCUUUUGGUAAGUACAAAUACAUUAGAUUCCACCAUUUUGAAUAUGUGCAUAUGACAAGAAGAGUAAAGAAAAC